CACGCCGUAAACGUUGGGCACUAGGUGUGGGGUCUUAUCAACGGAUUCCGUGCCGCAGCUAACGCAUUAAGUGCCCCGCCUGGGGAGUACGGCCGCAAGGCUAAAACUCAAAGGAAUUGACGGGGGCCCGCACAAGCGGCGGAGCAUGUUGCUUAAUUCGAGGCAACGCGAAGAACCUUACCUGGGCUUGACAUGUACCGAAAAGCCGUAGAGAUGCGGUGUCCUUCGGGGCGGUACACAGGUGG
rnacentral:rRNA from 1 species